rfam:Triticum aestivum genome assembly, contig: Triticum_aestivum_CS42_TGACv1_scaffold_556550_7AL
CUAGUACUCCCUCCAUCCCAAAAUUCUUGUCUUAGAUUUGUCUAAAUACGGAUGUAUCAAGUCACGUUUUAGUAUUAGGUACAUUCGUAUCUAGACAAAUCUAAGACGAGAAUUUUGGGACCGAGGGAGUAAUAU